rnacentral:rRNA from 1 species
GAAGACCAAGGGUUCCUGUCCAACGUUAAUCGGGGCAGGGUAAGUCGACCCCUAAGGCGAGGCCGAAAGGCGUAGUCGAUGGGAAACGGGUUAAUAUUCCCGUACUUCUUACAAUUGCGAUGGGGGGGACGGAGAAGGCUAGGUGGGCCUGGCGACGGUUGUCCAGGUUCAAGUGCGUAGGCUUAAGAGUUAGGUAAAUCCGGCUCUUUUUAAGGCUGAGACACGACGUCGAGC